UACGAAGGGGGCUAGCGUUGCUCGGAAUUACUGGGCGUAAAGGGAGCGUAGGCGGGUUAUCAAGUUGGAGGUGAAAGCCCAGGGCUCAACCUUGGAAUUGCCUUCAAAACUGAUAGCCUAGAGUAUGGAAGAGGUAAGUGGAACUCCGAGUGUAGAGGUGAAAUGCGUAGAGAUCGGCAGGAACACCCAGGGGGAAACCAGUCGACUGGGCAUCUACUGACGCUGAGGUGCGAGAGCGUGGGGAGCGAACCGG
rnacentral:rRNA from 1 species